rnacentral:tRNA from 1 species
GCACUUGUAGUUUAAUGGAUAGAACAUGGGCUUCCGGAGCCUAAAAUGCGGGUUCGAUUCCUGCCAGGUGCA